rnacentral:rRNA from 1 species
GAUGAACGCUGGCGGCGUGCCUAAUACAUGCAAGUCGAGCGAACGGACGAGAAGCUUGCUCUUCUGAUGUUAGCGGCGGACGGGUGAGUAACACGUGGAUAACCUACCUAUAAGACUGGGAUAACUUCGGGAAACCGGAGCUAAUACCGGAUAAUAUUUUGAACCGCAUGGUUCAAAAGUGAAAGACGGUUUUGCUGUCACUUAUAGAUGGAUCCGCGCUGCAUUAGCUAGUUGGUAAGGUAACGGCUUACCAAGGCAACGAUGCAUAGCCGACCUGAGAGGGUGAUCGGCCACACUGGAACUGAGACACGGUCCAGACUCCUACGGGAGGCAGCAGUAGGGAAUCUUCCGCAAUGGGCGAAAGCCUGACGGAGCAACGCCGCGUGAGUGAUGAAGGUCUUCGGAUCGUAAAACUCUGUUAUUAGGGAAGAACAAAUGUGUAAGUAACUAUGCACGUCUUGACGGUACCUAAUCAGAAAGCCACGGCUAACUACGUG